AACGAUGCCCGGUUCUACCGCACGUCCCCAUCGAGGAAGUGCCAUCCGGAUUCCGCACAUAAGUGCAGAAUCGCUCACGGUGACAUGAAAUCGGUGGAGAGCCGCUCACAUGGUAGAGCCAGAACAUGAGUAACCUACUUCGUUAUCAAAGGGUGAGCGGCGGCGCGCUAGAGUUCCGGGGACGGAACGAGCGGGGACGGCCCCAAGGAGCAUU
rfam:Rothia mucilaginosa DY-18 DNA, complete genome.